GAUGAACGCUGGCGGCGUGCCUAACACAUGCAAGUCGAGCGAUCUUCUUCGGAAGAGAGCGGCGGACGGGUGAGUAACGCGUGGGUAACCUGCCUCAUACACAUGGAUAACAUACCGAAAGGUAUGCUAAUACAAGAUGAUAUAAGAGAUUCGCAUGGAUUUCUUAUCAAAGCUUUUGCGGUAUGAGAUGGACCCGCGUCUGAUUAGCUAGUUGGUAAGGUAAUGGCUUACCAAGGCUUCGAUCAGUAGCCGACCUGAGAGGGUGAUCGGCCACAUUGGAACUGAGACACGGUCCAAACUCCUACGGGAGGCAGCAGUGGGGAAUAUUGCACAAUGGGCGAAAGCCUGAUGCAGCAACGCCGCGUGAGCGAUGAAGGCCUUCGGGUCGUAAAGCUCUGUCCUCAAGGAAGAUAAUGACGGUACUUGAGGAGGAAGCCCCGGCUAACUACGUG
rnacentral:rRNA from 1 species